GACACUGACGUUAGUAGCGUCACGUUUGCGUUUGCCCAGCAGACGCUAAGGGUGUUUUUCCAAAAUAUUUAUUUUUUUAACAAUUUAUUAUAGUUAGCGUCUCCUCUAGAUGACAUUACGUAGACGCUCGAUUUUAGUGUCCGUCUAUUGAGACUCUAAUCCUUUUCUUUAUUCUAUUUAAAAUUAAAAUAUUAAUUAGGUAGACGCUAAUGUGACGUUAAUGUAAAAAAUGAAAAUUAAUACUAUAUUAGGUGUCACACAAACCCUAACUUGAUACUACUACAUAAAUCCUUUUCCUCAAUCUCACUCAUCUCGCGUUCUCACUCCCCACCGGCCACCACUGCACCUCCCAGCCGUCAUCAACCUUGGAGGUGCGCUGACCUUCUCUUCCAGAACUGCAUCGUCGGACCUUCUCUCAUAACUACGCCGCCAACCAAUCUUCUCCACACCACCGCACCAUCAAUCUACUUCCACUCUCAUUUUCACACUCGUUCUUCCAAUGAUGUUCCUCUCCAAUAGUUUGUCGCCCUAAACUGUUCUGCCACCAUACAUCUCUCAAAUUUACUGGUUAGUAGCUAUUGCUCUUUGUUUAAGGAUUUUCUCAAAUGAAACUUAGGUUUUGUUCUUGUUUGGUUAAACGAUGAAGUUGUUUGAUUCUUCAAGGUUAAUUUCCUUUGUGGAAAUUUAGGGUUUUGUUCUUGUUUGGUUAAAUGAUGAAGUUGCUUGAUUCUUCAAGUUUAAUUUCCUUUGUGGAAAUUUAGGGUUUUGUUCUUGUUUUGGUGUUCAUUAGAGUAAUGAAUUUUGAAUUAGUCAAUUGCUUAUGUAUUUCCACCUUUCCCCUUUAGUUUAAACACAUGUAUAUGUAUCUUUUGAUGUGUUGCAGCAUGUUAAGAGCCAAGCCUCUGCUUUUCAAACUAUUUCAAGGUUUCAAUUUUUUUUUUGUAGACAAUUCCAAUCCCAAGCCCAAUUUUUGAAUCAAACAACUAAAAUAGAAGUUAACAAAGUAGUGAUAUAUUUGCCUCUUUUUUCAGAAAACAUGUAUUGUUUCAUCUCUGUCGAUUCAAAUAUUAACUCAACUGGACCACCUAAAUUGAGACAGAGUCCAAUUAACAUUUGUGGUUAUUUAUUUUGCAUUGCUUGGCCUAGUAGUAGUUAGUUAGUUAAAAACAACUUCUGGCCCCCAAAAUCCAGACAGGUGCAAAUAUACCCUUCUCACUAUCAAAACCUAUGCAUUCUAAAAGAUAUGCUACUAUUGAUCACAAUGACACUAUGAGGUACACCACUCCCAAUAGAUUAACAAACUUGUAGUGCACCAUGUGCUUCAAAUCGUAAAAAACCACUUUUAAACCAAAUUAAAUUUAAUAUAGCUCUUUUUCCACUUCCAUCAUGAUGUUUUGUUUUUCUCCGUGUCAAUACCGCGUAAAAUUCGUAAUCAUGAUGCCUAAUAAUAGGCACACUACCGCAUUAAUUGGCCUAGGGAAAACCCAUAACCGUGACUUUCAUCAACUCUUUUUCCACGUUUACUAGCUCAAUGAAUUUGAUAUAGGUCAAUGAGAAAAUCCCUAACCCCGCCGAAUCCUCCGCCGUCGAAGAACAAUCCCUCCACUGAAUCCGUUCGCCAUUGAAGAAUAAUCUCACAACGCAUCUCUCCUCAAUCCCUCCUCCGUUGAAGAACAAUCCCUCUGCCAUUCUCCUUCAAUCACUCCGCCGUUCUCCACGGUUCCAUGGUUUUGUAUAUCAUUUUUUAAUUUCACUGUUUGGAUUUCUGAUCAAUGGUGCCAAUGUCAAAACUGCAAAAGCAAUUGCUGUUGAAUGUGGAAUACUUGGUUCACUUGCUGAUGCUACCAAGAGAAGUGUCAUUGAAGGAAAAGACAUUUCGAGCCUUGUCUAAUUCAGAGAGAGAAGAAAUUGCGGACUCGAUAUCUGUUAUGGGAAGGUCAUCUCCAAUGACAAACUAUUGUUAGUAGAAGCAUUAAGGAGGAAGGGUCAUGAUGUGGCUGUAACUAGGGAUGGAAUGAAUGAUGUUAUUGCACUUCCUGAGGUUUGUGUAACUUUUUUGUCUGGCAUUUCAUUUGUUUGUUAUCUCUAGUUAUAGUACACAUUACAAUGAUAUAAUCAAAACCGGAAUGAUACAUUAAGCGGGUAUAUGUGACUGCUCUAGUUUCAGCUGAUAGUCAAUAUGGCAGCUCUUGUUAUAAAUGUUGUUGCUGCAGUUUCCUCUGAGGAUGUUCCACUGAAUGUAGUGCAGCUUCUCUGGGUGAAUCUUAUCAUGGAUACUCUGGGAGCACUAACCUUGGCAACUGAUCACCUGAUGGAUCAAUCUCAUGUGGGUCGUAGGUAUUGAAUUAUUGUCAUUCACAAGGAAUUAUGCAUCGGGAUGAAAAGUCCCAUAAUAUAUAAUGAUUGUCCAUGGUUUGGAGCUUAUUGUUGAGUCUUGGUUGUAUGUUUUCCAAAUGGUUGUUACUGAUGAUAUGGAAGUGCAUAAAAGUACAAGUGUAGAAUAUGGUACUCUAUGCAACCUUCAACUUGUAAAAGGGAUGCUUCAUAAGUUAUGUAGACAUGUAGUAAUUAACACUAGGCAAAUGCCGUCAUCACGAAAGAAUUUAUGUUUACAGCUCUUUUUUAUCUUACAAAUUAUGUUUGGAUAGUUUUUUGGUGUAGACUUUACUUUCGAUUUGUUAGACAUA